GAUGAAGAACGUAGCGAAAUGCGAUAAGUAAUGUGAAUUGCAGAAUUCAGUGAAUCAUCGAGUUUUUGAACGCACCUUGCGCUCUCUGGCUAAUCCGGGGAGCAUGCCUGUUUCAGCCUCAUUAAAACCAUCAAAAUUCGUCUUUUUUUUUAAAAGACGUAAUUUUGGAAUUGGGCCAUCUCGGAAAAUGUGAAGAAGAAUUUUCUUUUUUUCAUCCGAGAGGCUUGAAAUUGAGGCCUGGGACGUCGGUGACCCAAAGCGACAAUAGUGAUGGUCUCUUUGAUCCUUCUCUAAACAUCCGCUAGGUCGUCCGAUGAAUUUUUUCUGGGUUCGGUUGCAGGAAAACGGAGGUGAAAAAUUCCUCCACAAUUCUUGAGCUGAAAUCAGGCAAGGCUACCCGCUGAACUUAAGCAUAUCAAUAAGCGGAGGA
rnacentral:misc_RNA from 1 species